GGCCGACUGGCCUAAUGGUUAAGGCGUCAGUUUCCGGUUGUGUGUUAGCUGAAGAUUCUGGGUUCGAAUCCCAGGUUGGUCG